rnacentral:rRNA from 1 species
GACGAACGCUGGCGGCGUGCUUAACACAUGCAAGUCGAACGGAAAGGCUCCAGCUUGCUGGAGUACUCGAGUGGCGAACGGGUGAGUAACACGUGGGUAAUCUGCCCUGCACUCUGGGAUAAGCCUGGGAAACUGGGUCUAAUACUGGAUAUGACCUUUCUCCUUAUGGGGUUUGGUGGAAAGUUUUUCGGUGUAGGAUGAGCCCGCGGCCUAUCAGCUUGUUGGUGGGGUGAUGGCCUACCAAGGCGACGACGGGUAGCCGGCCUGAGAGGGUGAUCGGCGACAUUGGGACUGAGAUACGGCCCAGACGCCUACGGGAGGCAGCAGUGGGGAAUAUUGCACAAUGGGCGGAAGCCUGAUGCAGCGACGCCGCGUGAGGGAUGACGGCCUUCGGGUUGUAAACCUCUUUCAGCAGGGACGAAGCGUAAGUGACGGUACCUGCAGAAGAAGCACCGGCUAACUAUGUG